rnacentral:rRNA from 1 species
CAGCAGCCGCGGUAAUACGGAGGGUGCAAGCGUUAAUCGGAAUUACUGGGCGUAAAGCGCACGCAGGCGGUCUGACAAGUCAGAUGUGAAAUCCCCGGGCUUAACCUGGGAACUGCAUUUGAAACUGUCAGGCUAGAGUCUUGUAGAGGGGGGUGGAAUUCCAGGUGUAGCGGUGAAAUGCGUAGAGAUCUGGAGGAAUACCGGUGGCGAAGGCGGCCCCCUGGACAAAGACUGACGCUCAGGUGCGAAAGCGUGGGGAGCAAACAGGAUUAGAUACCCGCGUAGUCCCUGUCUCUUAUAA